GGCCCCAUUAACCAAGCAGAGCCUGGAGAACGUCGGACAUGAGGAGGGAUUUGGUCUGGGUGAGAUGGCUGCAGUCAAGGGCUCCUGGCUGGGUGAGGUCACUGAACUCCCCCGAGGGAAGCAGGUAAAGGCAAAGCCUACGGCUCUUUUGCCUCAGACACCUCAGGCUGUACGGGUGCUCAGAAAAAGGUGGGUAGUGUCUUUCCUUCUUCACAGAGAGGUGUAAAUCUUAAAGCUUAAUUAAAGCAAUUUGAAUAGUAAUAAUAUUAUCCACUUGAAACUAGAAACAUUUUGAUGUUCUAGAAUAAUCUGUCCUAAUGAAUAUAUUCUCACUCUCUUUGCAAUUGAAAUAAUUUGGUGCAUGUUAUUCUUUUUAUCUUCUCCUUUAGCUUUGAAAGCUGUCUUGCAGAGAUCAGGGCUCAUCUCUUGUCUCAAGAGUUUCAGCCUCAGUGACUGGUUGAAAUUAGGCUCAGUUACAAAAGUCUCUACUAGUAAGUUUCUGAGGAGAAUCUUGGUUCCUAUGGCAUCCCAGCUCAGAAUCUCUCUGGACUCUUACAGCACCGCAUGUUUUCAGAGGCAGCUCAGUUUCAUACAAAUGCUCCUGCCAUCCUGUUCUCCUUGCUCCUUUACAGGCUCCACAGUGACCACUGAAUUAGCUGGCACUGAGCCCUCACAGGACCAGGGUCUUGAGAAGAAAGUCAGGCUGGCCUUAAAGCAGAUUGGCUUUUCUUAAGUGCUCAGAUCCUGCCCCUUACAAAGCCCAGGCUGUGGAGUGUGAACUGCAGAUACAUUAGAGUUCAGAGCAAUCUGGACACUCAUCAUUGUCAGAUUUUUUUCUCCUCUCACACAAUUUCCUAACAAUGCUCUCGUCCUCCACUGCUUUCUUCUGCUGACAAGCAGUAUUGUGUCUUUUGGAGUGAUGAAAGGCAAAGGCACUGAACAGCAUCAUCAACACAUGGCAGUUCCUUUCAUUUUUAAUUAAAUAUAUGACAGCCAAUGGACCAGUAAUGUACCUAAAUAAACCACAUUCAUAGAACAAAGGAAGAAGACACUCUUGAGCACUAGGUUUAAUACACAGUGGGUAUCCAAUGGAUACAACAGAAAAGUUAAUUCAUUCAGAAUUGUAAGGAAGCAACAGUUGUGCAUUUUGAUUUUUUUGCUCAGUUUCACCAGGUACAAACAUUUGAACCAGGCCUCAGCAUCAGGCAGGUCCAUGGACAGAGUAAAAGGAGACACUUGCUCAUUAUAACUGAGGGUAUUUUCAUUGCAAAACAAGGAAAUACAUAUUUAAUUAGCUUAAAAACUUUUUUUUUU